GCCGGUGUAGCUCAGCUGGUAGAGCAGCGCAUUCGUAAUGCGCAGGUAGGCGGUUCGAAUCCGCCCAUCGGCU
rnacentral:tRNA from 1 species